ACUAAAAUCAUUACACAUCAUAUCGUAUCAUCAUACAUCCUACAUCAUACAUAGUAUUAAAGUUCGAAACCAAAGUUUGGAUUCGGCUGUUCGGAUGUUCAGAAAGUGACGUUAGCCAAAAUUUUUUUUCCCUUGACGUCAUCGAUUUAUAUGUAUAGACGAAAAUCAGCUAGCCGAAUUUCUCAGUCCGGAAACAACCGUACAGUAGAUAGGACGUGUGUGAAUCGCGCUCCGCAGAUUUCGAGUACCGGUUUCUCUACUUCCUGGAUCCUGCGCUUCAGGUCUGCUUUCUGGUGCAACUCGACUUCAGGACAAGUGCUCCGUAGUUUCUGCGUUCCAGGACCGCUACCUGGUGAAACUCGUCUUCCAAGACAAGCGCUCCGUAGUUUCUACACUCCAGGUCCACUACCUGAUGAAAUUCGACUUCCGGAACAAGGACUCCGUGGUUCUUGCGCUCCAGAUCCGCUACCUGGUGAAACUCGACUUCCAGCACAAACGCUCCAUAGUUUCUACACUCCAGGUCCGCUACCUGGUGAAACUCGACUUCCAGGAUGAGCGCUCCGUAGUUCUGGCUGUCCAGGUCCUUCACCUGGUAACUUUUGACGUUCAGGACUAAUUAUCCGUAGUUCUGGUUAAACUUGUCAUGUUAACAAAAGAUUAUUUUAAUUCAUUUUUCGCUCAAGCCCAAAUUCAGUAGCUAUCAAUGCGCUAAUAAAAUUUCUAUAAUUUUUUAUAAUGUUCUCGUAAUCUUCUCGGUGAAAUGUGUCAAUAAAAAAAUUGUAUUAAUCCUUAUACAAUACUUUUGAUGUGUUCUAACACUAGAAAUAUUUAUGAGUAUUCGAAGUAUAACCCGGGGUGGUUAACGGUGAUCGUUGGAGGUGGUUGAAGGUGGUUAGGGGUGGUUGCGGGUGAUCAAGGUGGACGAGGAGGAGGACGAGGAAGGCGAGCAGAACAAGGUGUACGAGGAGAACGAAGGUUUCUGCACGGUAUAACCCGAGGUAGUUAUCGGUGGUUGUUGGAGGUGGUUGGCGGUGGUUGGAGGUGGUCGGCAGUGGACGAGGAGGAGAACGAGGAAGACAAGGAGGACAAGGUGAAUGAGGAGGACGAGGAUUUGUGCACUGUAUAACAUUCUAAAGUAUUGAAUCGAGCAGGAGUCGGAGUAGGAGGAGGAUCAGGAGUAGGAUCAGGAGUAGGAGUAGGAUCAAGAGUAGGAAUAGGAGUAGGAGUAGAAUCAGGAGUGCGAGUAGGAGUAGGAGUAGGAGUAGGAGUAGAAUCAGGAGUAGGAG
rnacentral:lncRNA from 1 species